GUGUGUGUGUGUGCAGCGCGGUCUUCUAUGUGUAUGAGAGAGAGAGGGAGCGAGAAAGAGGAGAGAGAGAGAGAGGGAAAGAGAGAAGGGUGUGCGUGAAUGAGUGUCUGCGCGUCCGCUGCUCGGCGCUCCGGGCGCAGCGGUUGCCGAACCUGCCAUGGGCAGGGUGUGGGUCUGGGGAGAGAGAGAGAGAGAGAGAGAGAGAGAGAGAGAGAGAGUUAAAGCGAGGGAGGAAGAGGGUCGGUUACCCCGGGGCCAAAGCCAGAGCCGUUGCGCACCGCUUGCGCCCGCCUAGGGAUCCAGCCAGCCAGCCGAGCGCUAAGGAAGGUGGCCAAGGCAACUCGCCCUGCGCUGCCCUGCGGGAGAGGCUGCGCCCCUGCCCUGCUGUCCUCUCCGCAGUGGGGGGAAGAGAAGAAAGCUGGAACUGUGGCUCUGGUGAUUCGCCUCCAAGUGGUGGCUAAGCUCUGUGGACAGAAGUGUUUCCUUUUUCCUAGCCCAUCUCUUGUUAUCAGAUGGACAUGCUGGUGGCCUGCAGAUGUUUGAAGGCUGGAAACUCAGUUAGAUGAUGGGCUGAUCCAAAAAGGCCAACCAGUUUGCUGGUCCCUGGACAGUUUGCUGCAAACUUCUUCUGGAUUAGCCAAUCCUCAACAAAUAUUUGGUCUUGCUUGUAUCUCCUCUCCUCAUUCUUUACUGGAGAGCCUUCUGGAUAAAGUCCUUCCCCCCACCCCACCCAAUAAGAAAGGAGAUGCUCUCCUUAAUAUGCCACAAAUUACAAGGUGAGGCUAAUGCUAAUCAUGUUGGAUUAAGGAAAUCCUAUUAAAAUUAAUUCAUCUGGCAAAAUUAAAUUUCCUGAUUUUCAAUAUGUGACCGAUCUGUUCCUUAAAGAAAGAGAGAGAUAAAAUCAGCAAAGAAAACUAGCAGGCCCCAUACAAUGUAAAUGAGCCUGCAUUUGAUAUUCAGCUGGCCGGGAAGGGGGGGGGGCUUCUUUUCUAAAAUCAGAGCAGCGUGAGCUCAAGCCUGCUGAGAAGUCAUGUAGUGGGGCUUGGAAACUGCAGCCCCUAACCCCAGGUCCCUGUGCCAUGGUAAAGGAAAAUGCAAGCAACAUGUCAGUAGGAGGAAAGUGUGGUGUGGUGGUUAGAGUGCUGGACUCAGGAAACCAAGACUCAAAUCCCUUUUCAACCAUAAAGCUCCAUGGGUAGCCUUGGGCCAGUCAUAGUCUCUUAGCCUAACUCGGCAGGGUGGUUGUGAAGAUUAAAAUGGCAGGGGAGGAGAAUUGUGUGCGUCACUUUGAGUUACUUAGAAGAAAGGUGGGAUACUAAAGUAAUAAAUAAACAAGACACACACCCAGAGACAAUUUCUGUGCUCAGAUACUUUCAAGGUGACAUUGUG